AUGACUGUCAUGUGUUUCAACUGUCAGUUUAGUUUGUGGUUGUGUACGGUUUUUAAUAGGAUUUUUGGGUUUUCCAAUUAGUUUUUGUGUUAAUCUAUUGAUUUGAGGUUGUAAUAAUCCAUGAAAAUAGUGUGUGGUGUUCAAUAGUGCUAUUUUGUUCAAAAACUGGUUCUUCGUAGUUUUAUGCCAUUAGACCAACAACAUCUAUGAUGAAUUAGUGCAUUCAAAUAUUAUUUGAACCCUGGAAUCGUGAAGUUAUCGAUGAAUAAGAAGGCAGUCUAUCGAUUCACAUCCAAUUCAAUUGGCUACCAGUAAAGUUGGUAAAUAAGAUAUAUGAACUUUUACUACAUUUUACAUCCGGUAAGUCAAACGUUUUCAAUUUUUUUUUGUGUAUGUUUGUGAACUUCUUUCUUUGUUGAUUACAAUGCAUACUUACGAAUACAGCAGUCCCAAUGUACACCACAAGGAGGCCGAGUUAUCGGGAAAGCGGUGUUAGAAUUUGGGGCGAGGAAUUUAUGAACAGGUAGCAGCAUUCAAUUUCCAGUUUUUGAGGUUGUAUCGAUAGAGCCAUGAGCAGAAGAAUGCACAGUCCAAGGCCCGGUUGCACAAAAGCCGGUUAUAUUUUAACCGUGAUUAAUUUCACGGGAACCAAUCAGAGAAGGCCUUUUUAAUAAGACGGCUUCUCUGAUUGGUUCUCGUGGAAUCAAUCACGAUUGAAAUUUAACCGGCUUUUGUGCAACCGGCACUUGAAGUCCAAAGGGAGCAUUAUAUGCGGGAAAUGAAGCCAAAUACAGUACAUUAAUUGAAACACCGUACCUUAUGCAAUCUUUUCCAUCCGGAAAUAAUAUUCUGUUCCUAACAGAGUAAAAUUUGUCAAAAAAUUGUUCAAUGUUGACAAAAAAUUGCGUACGGUACAACCAAGUUGUCAAUGAUUCCAAAUAUCUAGGUAUUACCUUGGACGUGAAACUUCGCUGCAAGACCAUGUCAAGAAGAAGAAAGAAGA